GACGAACGCUGGCGGCGUGCUUAACACAUGCAAGUCGAACGGAAAGACCCUGCUUUUGUUGGGUGCUCGAUUGGCGAGCGCGUGAGUGACACGCGAGUAACAUGCCCUUAAAUUUGGGAUAACAUCAGGAAACAGGGGCUCAUACCGGAGAGGAGAUCCUGCUGCAUGUUGGGGGAUGGAAAGUUUCGGCGGUGGGGGCUGGACUCGCGGCGUAUUAGCUAGUUGGUGAGGUUGUGGCUUAACAAGGCUUUGACGGGUAGCCGGCCUGAGUGGGUGGUCGGCCACACUGGAAGUGAGACACGGUCCAGGGUCCUACGGGAGGCAGCAGUAGGGAAUCGUGCGCAAUGGGGGAAAGCCUUACGGAGAAGCGCGGAGUGAGUGAGGAAGGUCUCCGGGUCGGAAAACUCUGUUAUUGGGGAAGAACACGUUUGUACGUAACUAGGAACGUCUUGACGGUAACUGGUCAGAAAGCCACGGCUAACUACGUG
rnacentral:rRNA from 1 species